AGAGUUUGAUCCUGGCUCAGGAUGAACGCUAGCGGCAGGCCUAAUACAUGCAAGUCGAACGGGUUAUUUGUAGCAAUACAGAUAAUCAGUGGCGCACGGGUGCGUAACACGUAUGCAACCUACCUGUAACAGGGGGAUAGCUCGGAGAAAUCCGGAUUAAUACCCCAUAAUAUGUACUUUUGGCAUCAGAGGGACAUUAAAGCUACGGCGGUUACAGAUGGGCAUGCGUCUGAUUAGCUAGUUGGUGAGGUAACGGCUCACCAAGGCAAUGAUCAGUAGGGGAACUGAGAGGUUGAUCCCCCACACUGGUACUGAGAUACGGACCAGACUCCUACGGGAGGCAGCAGUAGGGAAUAUUGGUCAAUGGGCGGAAGCCUGAACCAGCCAUGCCGCGUGCAGGAAGACGGCCCUACGGGUUGUAAACUGCUUUUAUCUGAGAAAAAACGACUCCUGCGGGAGGCCUUGAUGGUAUCAGAUGAAUAAGCACCGGCUAACUCCGUGCCAGCAGCCGCGGUAAUACGGAGGGUGCAAGCGUUGUCCGGAUUUAUUGGGUUUAAAGGGUGCGUAGGCGGCUUAUUAAGUCAGUGGUGAAAGCCGGCAGCUCAACUGUCGAAUUGCCAUAGAUACUGAUAGGCUUGAGUACAAUCGAGGUAAGUAGAAUUUAUGGUGUAGCGGUGAAAUGCAUAGAUACCAUAAAGAAUACCGAUAGCGAAGGCAGCUUACUAGGAUGUAACUGACGCUGAGGCACGAAAGCAUGGGUAGCAAACAGGAUUAGAUACCCUAGUAGUCC
rnacentral:rRNA from 1 species